GAAGGCCAUAUUUUAAACAAACAACAACAUUAAUUGCAUUUAAAUUAUAUUAGUUAAGACAAUUGACUUGAAUUUUAAUUGUUUUAAUACUUUUUAACUAUUUUGUUUAUUUACGCAAAUAAUCUUAUUUUGCAGUUCAAACUUGUUGGACAAUAUUUAAGUAGAACAAACAGGCUUUUGUCAAAUAUGACAUAUUUCAAAAAUGAAGAAACAAAAAAAAUUUUUGUUUAAAUUUUACAAGCAACUCGAAUGUUUAUAAGGUGACUAUAUUGUGUACUAUGAUUAAGGAGAUUUUACGAGCCGAUCCAGAACACGGUGUAUUAUUUUAUUCAAGUUUAAAAACUUGUUCGACAGUUUUUGCUGUUCUGGGAGCGGUAUGGUGGUGUUCCGAUUACUUCGUAAUAAAAAAAUAUAGAAUAACUUCUUUAUUGAAAUAUCGUAUAUUUGUUUAUAUCUAUAAAGUUGUGUUUGCACUUUAUUUCAUUUGCAUACUGUUGUUGAUUUUGCAAAUAAAUAGAUAACAUUUGUGUCUGAUCAACA